GACAGAGGGUGCAAACGUUGUUCGGAAUUACUGGGCGUAAAGCGCGUGUAGGCGGCCCUGCAAGUCGGAUGUGAAAUCCCACGGCUCAACCGUGGAAGUGCAUUCGAAACUGCAGGGCUAGAGUCCUGGAGAGGAAGGUGGAAUGCUUGGUGUAGAGGUGAAAUUCGUAGAUAUCAAGCGGAACACCGGUGGCGAAGGCGGCCUUCUGGACAGUGACUGACGCUGAGACGCGAAAGCGUGGGGAGCAAACA
rnacentral:rRNA from 1 species